AAUAAAUUUUUUAUGAUUUUGGAAAUUUUUUUUAAGUUUAUUUUACAUAUAAAUUUUAGUAUUAAAUUUUAAUUAUUUUAAUAAUAAUUAAUUUAUUUUAAUAGUAAUUAACAUUAAUAAAUUUAAGAAAUUAAGAUUUAGUAAUAUAAAAAUUAAUAACAAAUUUUGUGCCAGCAGUUGCGGUUAAACAAAAGUUAAAUUAAAUUUUAUUAGCAUAUUAAUAAAUAUAAUUAAUUUAUUUAAUUUAAAUAAUAAAUUAUUAGGUGAAAUUAUAAUUUAUUUAAAAAUUAUUAAAAUUAUAUGAUUUAAUAAAUUUUAUUAUAAACUAGGAUUAGAUACCCUAUUAUUAAAAAUUUAAAUAAAAAUACUAAAAUAGUAUAUAAUUAUUUAUUGAAACUUAAAUAAUUUGGCGGUAUUUUAGUUCAUUUAGAGGAAUCUGUUUAUUAAUUGAUAAUCCACGAAUAAUUUUACUUAAUUAAUAAUUUUGUAUAUCGUUGUUAAAAAAAUAUUUUUAAAUAAAUUUAAUAUUUUAAAAUUUAGAAUAAAAAUUAAAUCAGAUCAAGAUGCAGAUUAUAAUUAAGAAUAUAAUGGAUUACAAUAAAUUUAUUUAUAUGAAUAUUUAAUUGAAAAAUUAAAUUGAAAGUGGAUUUAAAUGUAAUUUUAUUUAGUUUAUUAAAAUGAUUUAAAAUUAAAAUAUGUACAUAUUGCCCGUCGCUUUCAUUUAUAAAUUGAAAUAAGUCGUAACAAAGUAGAGGUACUGGAAAGUGUUUCUAGAAAGAC
rnacentral:ncRNA from 2 species